CUACGGGGCGCACCAGUCGAGAAUAGUCUACAAUGGACGAAAGUCUGAUAGUGCGACGCCGCGUGGAUGAAGAAGCAUUUCGGUGUGUAAAGUCCUUUUCUGUGUGAGCAAUGUUUUCCAGGUUAAUAGCUUGGAGAAAGCGAUAUUAACACAGGAAUAAGCUCCGGCUAACUCCGUGCCAGCAGCCGCGGUAACACGGGGGGAGCAAGCGUUGUCCGGAAUUACUAGGCGUAAAGGGUAAGUAGGCGGAAUUGUAAGUCAGAUGGUAAAGGCCCCGGCUCAACCGGUGUAUGGCAUUUGAUACUGUAAUUCUAGAGUAAGGUGGGGGAAGACGGAAUUCCUGGUGUAGCGGUGGAAUGCGCAGAUAUCAGGAGGAACACCAGAGGCGCAGGCGGUCUUCUAUACCGUUACUGACGCUCAAUUACGAAGGUGUGGGUAUCAAACAGGAUUAGAUACCCCCGUAGUC
rnacentral:rRNA from 1 species